GCGCAUUUGCGGAAAUAUUAUUCCAUAUUAUAUACCAUAUUAUAUAGUUUCAUUUUUUGAAGUUAAUCGUCAUUAUGUCUACUGAAUAUUUACAUAAUUAUGCAUGUAUACACUCAAAAUUCCACAUAAACAAACCCCUUCAACAGAGAAUUGAGCAUCCAUUCAUCAAAUAAUUCCACUUCACCUACCUUUUGUAGUAUUCCAC